rnacentral:rRNA from 1 species
UACGGAGGGAGCUAGCGUUGUUCGGAAAUACUGGGCGUAAAGCGCACGUAGGCGGCGUCGUAAGUCAGGGGUGAAAUCCCGGGGCUCAACCCCGGAACUGCCUUUGAAACUGCAAUGCUAGAAUACUGGAGAGGCAAGUGGAAUUCCGAGUGUAGAGGUGAAAUUCGUAGAUAUUCGGAAGAACACCAGUGGCGAAGGCGACUUGCUGGACAGUUAUUGACGCUGAGGUGCGAAAGCGUGGGGAGCAAACAGG